rnacentral:rRNA from 1 species
AGUGAACGCUGGCGGUAGGCCUAACACAUGCAAGUCGAACGGCAGCACAGUAAGAGCCUGCUCUUACGGGUGGCGAGUGGCGGACGGGUGAGGAAUACAUCGGAAUCUACUUUUUCGUGGGGGAUAACGUAGGGAAACUUACGCUAAUACCGCAUACGACCUACGGGUGAAAGCAGGGGAUCUUCGGACCUUGCGCGAUUGAAUGAGCCGAUGUCGGAUUAGCUAGUUGGCGGGGUAAAGGCCCACCAAGGCGACGAUCCGUAGCUGGUCUGAGAGGAUGAUCAGCCACACUGGAACUGAGACACGGUCCAGACUCCUACGGGAGGCAGCAGUGGGGAAUAUUGGACAAUGGGCGCAAGCCUGAUCCAGCUAUACCGCGUGGGUGAAGAAGGCCUUCGGGUUGUAAAGCCCUUUUGUUGGGAAAGAAAAGCAGCAGGUUAAUACCCCGCUGUUCUGACGGUACCCAAAGAAUAAGCACCGGCUAACUUCGUG